rnacentral:tRNA from 1 species
GCCUUCGUGGUAUACUGGUCAGCACGCUCGGCGCCCGUAUUCGAGAGGUCCGUGGUUCGAGUCCCGGCGAAGGCA